rnacentral:rRNA from 1 species
GACGAACGCUGGCGGCGUGCUUAACACAUGCCAGUCGAACGGAAAGGCCCUGCUUUUGUGGGGUGCUCGAGUGGCGAACGGGUGAGUAACACGUGAGUAACCUGCCCUUGACUUUGGGAUAACUUCAGGAAACUGGGGCUAAUACCGGAUAGGAGCUCCUGCUGCAUGGUGGGGGUUGGAAAGUUUCGGCGGUUGGGGAUGGACUCGCGGCUUAUCAGCUUGUUGGUGGGGUAGUGGCUUACCAAGGCUUUGACGGGUAGCCGGCCUGAGAGGGUGACCGGCCACAUUGGGACUGAGAUACGGCCCAGACUCCUACGGGAGGCAGCAGUGGGGUAUAUUGCACAAUGGGCGGAAGCCUGAUGCAGCAACGCCGCGUGCGGGAUGACGGCCUUCGGGUUGUAAACCGCUUUCGCCUGUGACGAAGCGUGAGUGACGGUAAUGGGUAAAGAAGCACCGGCUAACUACGUG